UUUUUGAACGAUACAUUUAGACUAUAGAUUUGAUACUAGUUGUUGGCGGUUUUAUAUGCGCCAAUUACCCAC